rnacentral:rRNA from 1 species
GAUGAACGCUGGCGGCGUGCUUAACACAUGCAAGUCGAACGAGGCACUUCAUAAAGUUUACUUUAAGAAGUGACUUGGUGGCGGACGGGUGAGUAACGCGUGGGUAACCUGCCUUACACAGGGGGAUAACAGUUAGAAAUGACUGCUAAUACCGCAUAAAACAGCAGAGUCGCAUGACUCAACUGUCAAAGAUUUAUCGGUGUAAGAUGGACCCGCAUCUGAUUAGCUAGUUGGUGGGGUAACGGCCUACCAAGGCGACGAUCAGUAGCCGGCCUGAGAGGGUGAACGGCCACAUUGGGACUGAGACACGGCCCAAACUCCUACGGGAGGCAGCAGUGGGGAAUAUUGGACAAUGGGCGAAAGCCUGAUCCAGCGACGCCGCGUGAGCGAUGAAGUAUUUCGGUAUGUAAAGCUCUAUCAGCAGGGAAGAAAACGACGGUACCUGACUAAGAAGCCC